AUUGAACGCUGGCGGCAUGCCUUACACAUGCAAGUCGAACGGCAGCACGGGGUAACCUGGUGGCGAGUGGCGAACGGGUGAGUAAUGCAUCGGAACGUACCUUUCAGUGGGGGAUAACAUAGCGAAAGUUACGCUAAUACCGCAUAUUCUGUGAGCAGGAAAGCAGGGGAUCGCAAGACCUUGCGCUGAUUGAGCGGCCGAUGUCAGAUUAGCUAGUUGGUGAGGUAAAGGCUCACCAAGGCGACGAUCUGUAGCGGGUCUGAGAGGAUGAUCCGCCACACUGGAACUGAGACACGGUCCAGACUCCUACGGGAGGCAGCAGUGGGGAAUUUUGGACAAUGGGGGCAACCCUGAUCCAGCCAUGCCGCGUGAGUGAAGAAGGCCUUCGGGUUGUAAAGCUCUUUCGGCCGGGAAGAAAUCGCACGGGCUAAUACCCUGUGUGGAUGACGGUACCGGAAUAAGAAGCACCGGCUAACUACGUGCCAGCCGCCGCAGUAAAAC
rnacentral:rRNA from 1 species